UAUUAAAAAAAUCAUCCAUUUGUACCUUUAAAAACUAACAUGGUUAACAGAAUAACCAUAGUACCUCAUGCUUAUGUACAGUGACCAAUUUUUAACCUUAAAAAUUGAUAAAAUUUUUAAUA
rnacentral:pre_miRNA from 1 species